UCCAAGAUGUUCUGACACAUUUCUCUUGUUCAUUCUUCUUGUCAGGGUUUUCAGUCCUCGUUUCCUCCCGACCUGCAGGAGAGAGAGGGAGAACACACCCUGGCCAGGAGGAGCCAAGAAAGGAGAAGGCCGACUGACUGCUGGCACUCAGCCCUCCCUCGCUGGAGGACAAUCAGACACAUCAGGGAGACAAGUCAAGGCUGGAGCUCAUUUAUUGAGGAAGCACACACAGCUAAUAUAAGGCACAGGAGCCAAUCAAGAUAAAGGUCAGAAGGGGAGGAGAGUUCUGAGCCUAUCCUAGAGGUGGUCCGAUUUUUCAUCACAACCCAGGGUAAUACCUUCUGGCUGAUUGCCAGGCACCAUCUUAGCCAUGUGCAGCCCCAAGACCAGGAAAUGAGCAUCAGUCUGCAAGUUAGGCUUCCUUUUCUCCAUCAUAGGUUUCUAUUUCUCUGAUGUAAUGUGCCCUACACUUCUAAUAUUUUUAUAGCUUUAGAUGUUGCAUGCAACAUGCACCAUUUCUACAUUAGAGCAUUCUGAAGUUGUUUCUUUACAUCCUCUUAUGAGUGAGUUUACAACUUCUGAUGUCUUCCUCUUCUCAUUAAUAUUUCUUUUUUUUCCUUAUGAAAGAAAAUCUUUUACACUCACAGCUUUUGUUUUAGAAUGUUUCUAUCUCUUAUUCAUUCCCAAAAGAUAGUUUUAUUGGAUACAAUAUUCUUAGUUAACUGAUUUUUUUUCUUAAGUUCUUUGAAAAAUCUCAUUCCACUCUCUCCUGACCUGUAGGUUUUUGCUGAGAAGUCUGUCAGGCAAAAUGGGACCCCCUUAUGUAUCAUUUGAUUCUUUUCUCUUGCUACCUUGAGAAUCUUCUUUUUAUCAUUUACCUUUGAAGGAUUGAUUAUAAUAUCUUGAGGGGGAACUGGGUGCAUUAAAUCUGAUUGGUGACUCUUAACUUUUCUGUACCUGAAUAUUUAUAUCCUUAUCUUAGUUUGGGAAGAUUUUAUUAAGAUCUAUAUGAAAGCACGUUUUAACUGUUUGACAUUCCUCUCAAGUCCCAAUACUAUGAACAUUGCCUUUUUGGUGGUUUUGUUUUUAGUGUGGCAUUCAGUAGUGACUUUUCUCCAGUCUGGCAUCAAUUCAAAACGGCAUUGAUAUUGUAUGCCUUCAACUAACCUUUACUAUCAACUGCAACAUUUGUGAAAUUAUGAGACUAAGAAUAAAGCUUUAUUUGAAACUACUGUGGAAAAUCAAUGCAUUAGUACUUUGAUACAAUAAUCACUAUGGGAGUGCAACUCAUUGCAUCCUGAGAAUUAUAGUUCCCUUGGGCAAAAUGUUAGAAAUGGUAGAAGAAAAAUGAAGAGCCUAAGUAGUAUGUGCCUAGAGUAUUAUAGAUUUAUUCAGUCCAAAGGACUAGAAAAAAGGAGUUCCUGACUAAGUCCAAUAGAAACUGUUCAAAAUAUCUGAAUUUAGCUGUCUCACAUAAAUAUAUGCACUGCUAUUUUAGAGGUGAAAAUUGGAACAAAUCAACAUACUAGAGGUCAUUGAAUGGACAACUUUUAUAUCUUGGCAAAUAUGUAUCAAUCUAGCUAUCCUCAUUAUAUUCUAUGCACAUAAGAAAAGAACUGUAAAUGAAAUACAAAAUUAUCAUUUUGGGGAUAGAUAAGAACAGC
rnacentral:lncRNA from 1 species